CCGCCUAGGUGCUCUGUAGUUAGGUCCCAACCUGAUCGAUAUGCUCCUCCUCUUUUGUGAUCGGCGCGGGGCAGCAGAGCUCAAAGGCAAAAGUUACAAGAUGACAAGCUUACUUGGCAUGCUGUUCUCAAACAACUUGUAACGUUUGUCUUCCAGCUCUGCUUCCCUGAGCCAAUCAUGAAGGAGCAGAGCCUUACAAAAAGGGUGGGACAUAACAUGAGGGGCAUGUAUACCUCGCCUAUAUACAGAACACCUGGGCGGUCUGCUCCCACCCAGGCUCUGC